rnacentral:lncRNA from 1 species
GUUCUAGUUGUGGAGUGAAAAAUCCUUCACUCGGAACGAGAGACACUCUUCUUAGCUCAAACUCCAUGUUCUCUGACGGAUUUUGUGGCCAUGGUAUGUUCUGCACUGUUGAAGAUCUUGGGGUGCAUUGAGUACUAGGUGAACUCACAUUAUGAACCGCACUAUCCUUGAACAUGUGGGAUUUUAUGUCUUUUUCGUCAAAGCUUCUAACCAAAAUCGUUAGCUUUCUCCAGAAAGAAAUUUCGGAGUCCUCAUAAAACGUGUGCCUAUGUUCAUAAAAGAAAAAGGCCACAAAGACGAGAAGAGCCAAGAGCGAAGUAACACCUACUAUUAGAAAUAGACCCCAAAAGCUACUGACGCUAAGCCGGUUGUGUGAAGGAAUGAGUGUUGGAUCAGAACAGUUACUCUUUUUGGAGAACCAUUUAUUCUCGAUUUGUUGCAUUUCAUCGUUUUCAAUCACUUCCAAGAUAGCCCUCGAGACAUCAUCCGUCAAAGGUGAAUUCUUGGGGAAUACCUACACCGAGCAUGAAAUUAAUUAAUGCGAGCAAUGAAAAUAUUAAAUACCUAAAGUGAAACUUAUUGUGUAAUUUUGUAGAGGUAAAGUUAAAGGAAAGGGAAAGAACUUACAAAGCCAAAACCAGAACUCUUAAAAGAAGGUUCAACAAUUGCAUAUUUGUUGCAAUACUGAGAAAUUAUAACUUUAAGGUAAGCCACCUCAUCGAAAGCUGCUGCAAUACCUCCUUUCGAUGUCCCAGUGAUCAAAAGCGUGUGGCAUUCUUCAGCAGAAUUAUAAGCCUUGAGUUUAGAACCUUGAAAUCCUUUAUUUAUCAAAAAUUUAAGCACGAAAGAACCGUUUUGGUAUCCUACAAUCUCCUCGUUUUUUAUAAGUUCAUUCACAGUGGUGACUUCUGGUUUAAGCCGUUGUACUGUAAGGAAAGAUGUGAGGUUUGCUGUGUAACUCUGAGUCAGCACUAGCACCACAAAGCACCAGACGAUCACCACAAACCUUGCUAAAUUGCUCACUACCUUCUCUCCUGUAUACACACAGCACACGCUUUAAUAUGUAUCACGCAAACCUCGUAUUGACAGUAAAUUGGGAUCUAUUAUAUUAUAUUGGCAACCCAAACCUCUUCACUCACUACGAAUAUGCAUGCAAGUCUAUAAGCUUUAGCAUUUAUCAUCAGUGAAUGCUUUUAGUAAACUUACGGUGGGCAAAGUUAAUAGUGGAGAAGGAGAACCAGAAACUAGUGCCGAUCUGGUGGUGAGGCGGUCCACGAAAGUCGGUGUUGACUCUGUGUUCUAAAAUCCACACAAUAAACCCAAUGAAUAUGAAGAAGCAAGCGGUAGUGACCCAUAGGUCUAAGCUCCAUGGUUGGAGAAAAAACCAUGUAUUGUUUUCAUUGUCCUUCAUUGGUACCAACAUAAACACACCAGACUCUGUGUAUGGUAACGUGAAAUCAACAGACAAAAACCUAUUUUCUCUGAUGGUUAUAUCUCCCACAGCUGCGUCGAACAUCUGUCUCAUUUAUUAAUGAUUUUUUUAGAAAACACACAUCCAAAGAUAGAGCUAUGUAAUCUUAUUAUAGAGAUCAUUUUUUUUUAUAUGGAAGUGGAUGAACAAACAACAUUUAUAUUUUGGAUUUGUAAGAAAAAGAGAACUAACCCCAUUAUGGACUUGCUCUACCAGAGUGUCGUAGCUAUGAUUUGGCGUAUCGAAAGUGACGUAGCGGUGGAUGACUGAGUAAGGCAACCUUUUAAGAGCAGCUUCAAAGACUUCUAUGGAGUAACCUGUUGGUAUUGUUGCCUUCCUCGGAUCAGCUUGCUUUACAUCCACAAAGCCUAAAAAUCCUCUCUUCAAUGGAACACCUACUUUAAAUGUUUUCUUCCCGUCCGUUGGAAUCUCCCAUCCUCUCGGAAUGACUGUCGACUUCCCGGGCCAUAUCACAGGACCCAACCUCUCACUUGUUGGAUUUUCAUUCACAAGUCCAUUGGUUUGUGUCCAGGAUCCGAUAAUCCUCUCUUCUUUUCCAAUAAAAUUGAUGAUAUCAAAAGUUGAUGACUCGAGCUCCAUGUUAACGAGUUUAAAUUUUCCUGCUAAACCGUUGAAGUCUACAUCCGACAGAGCCUUUAGAAGACUUGGACCGUAGCGAGAGACCCCUAGUGUCCCCAAAUCCGUCGUGUUAUUUAAGAAUGCGCUAAUAAGUUUAUCAUACCGUAAGUUCUUUGUGUCCGCUUUCUCCACGGCCAUGGCCAAUGCAGUUAUCGAAUCAUACGCCCGUAACGCAAAAACGUUUGGUUUUGCAUUAGCCUGCCCAAAUAUUGUCUCCCAUCUCAAGCUGAAGUUUCCAAGCUCUUUUGAGUUGGGGAUACGGCUUCUCAAACCCAACACCCCUUGCAUAUUCUCCAAGCUGCUACCGUGUUCGGUAGAGCUAAUCCAAUUCGUCAUUCCAUCUGUAAAUAUCCAUACGUACCCUUCCCCCAUCAUCCCAAUAUCUCUAGCUUUCUGAAUAACCCGAAACCCAAGAUUUGGUGGCAUGUGGGCAACAAACACCCUUGUCUGCAUUGUCAUGAGCUUGUAAAGCUGGUUUGUAAUCUGAUCAUUGCUAGCCUCCAGUGAGAUCACACUUCUAAUCGUUAUACAAGUAUGCACAUCUUGUAAAGCGUCAGCCAAGUAUGGCAUGAUUCCUUCUCCGAAUUCGUUGUCCACAUAAAUUGCGACAACACUUCUCCAUUCAAAGGAUUUGACAAUGGCCGCAAUGGCUCUGACCUGUGAUAAGUCAUUAAGAGUGGCUCGGACGAAGUAAGGGGUCUUGGUAGAUGUCAAAAGAGGGCUUGUUGCCGAGAAUGUGAUGACAGGUACUUGAGAUUUGUUGGCCAGUCUAAUCAUAAACUCGGCUUGCAGAGAGCUUCGUGGUCCGAUGAUGGCGCUCACUUUCUCGUUCUUGAUUAGGUCCAAAGCUGCUUGCAACACAAGAAACACACAAAUGAAAAUAUUAUGAGUAAGUUAUCCAUCAAUAACUUUCUGAGUCUAGACAUUGUUCUCAAACUAGGUUUCUUAUGUACUGUUGCUUUAUCUUUUUUAUUUGAUCCAUUUUAAAUAGUUUUGGGUAUCUGAGUUUCUUUGUAUAUUUACUUCAUUUCAUUCUUUAAUUUUUCUUUGUUGAAAAGGAUCAACAUGUUAAUAGAAAAAAAAUCAAAAUUAUUUUGUGAUUAUGAGUAGAGUUUAUCAAUGUAUAGAUAAAGAGGUUAACAAGUUCAAUUAUAUUUUAGAAAAGAAGUUCAAUAAUAGGUAUAAAGAGAGUAACUAAAAUGAAGCAUGGGUAUUUAGUUAUAUUUCAUUCCAUAUUAAAAAAAAAAAAAAAUCAAGAGUAGGCAAAUGUGUGUGAUUUGAAAUUGGUCAAUCGCUAAGCUAUUAACUUUUUGUAGCUCAGUUGGUUAAACUCCAUUCAAAAAAAAAAAAUUGGCCAAUAGCUAAGCCAUUUUAAACUUACAUGAUACUAAAAAUGUACAUUUACGUUUUUUAAUGUAUAAUCGUUUGUCAUCAUUUAAAUAGAUUACAUAAAAGUUCAGAAUUUUUAUGGAUUUAUUAUUGGUGGUCUACUGCAGGUUGGAACAUAAAUGCAUCCAACAUUCACUACUUUUACAUUUGUAUUCAUUAAAAUUCACAUUUAUCUAUAUUUUAUAGUUUUUAUAUUACAAGUAUAUAAUAUGUAUCAAAGGAGAGUGGACUGAUUUUCAAAUACCCAAGGAAAGCAAAGUUCUCAAAUCUAAUAUAAUGUCUAUGGGCUCCUCUCUUUUUUUUUUUCUGUCUGCUUCGAUCCAUUCCUGUGGGACUAGAUAUUAAUUUUUCACUCUAGCUGUACGACAGGAACUUUGGUUGGUUAGAUGUAGAAGACGCGGAUGCGGGUGUGAUAAUUUCCCGAAACUGGUGGUUCCAGUUUCAAGUAUUAUUAUGCCACUCAUAUGAUCAGUAUAGCGUUGAAAUACUUAUGAUUAGUUGAAUAUUGAAUGAAAUAGCAGUUAAACAAAAAAUUAUUAGUAUAAUUUUAUUCUACAAUGAUAAGCACGUCAAAAACUAUAUUAUUAUAGUACAAUAUUAAAUAUUUAUCUCAGUAUAGUUAGAAAUAAAAAUAAUAUGUAUAAUACCAAUUUAUAUUUUUUUAACUUUUAGUUUGUAUGAAUGUCUAGUUUCAAUUUAGAAAAAGUACUUUUUGUAGAAAUUAAUGUUUGAUUCCAAAAUAAUAGGUUGUAGAUUAGAUAUAUUAGCAAUCGAGAAAUAAAUUAUCAAGAAAUUUUUAAUUUUAAUAUUUUGUAAAUAUAAAUUAUGAUAAUUAAUUAGUGAAUAUUAACUAGACAAUGAAAUUUUAUGUUUAUCUUUUUUUAAAUAAUGUUUAAAUUUACUUAUUAUAUGUAUUAAUUAUGAUUUUAAAUGAAUUUUGUCUAUUUCAAAGAGAUUUUUUUAAUAACCAUAUGUAACCAAACACAUUCAAGGAAAUUUUUUAUGAUUUUGAAAAUCUAGAAUGUUAUAAAUGAUUAAAAAAAAAAGCAUUUUCAAUAAUUGUUACUAAACGCCAAUAAUCUAAUCGCUACCAUCCGUUAGUUCGAUGUUUUUGUAGGGGAAGAAGGACCAUCUAACUCCAAAAACUUGAAAGAUAAAAUGAAAAUGGAGAUAUUAAUUGUCCAUCAACAAUUUUCUUUAAUAAAUACAGACCACAGGAGAUAAUAUUUCUUCCGUUUUCUGAAUAGUCAACAGAAUGUUUCAUCUCUCUUCCAACGGAACAAGUUCAUACAGAUAUUAUCUUAUCCCAUACGAUUAAAAUUAGAACAGUGUGAGUCCAUGUGUGUAAGAAAAAGAAAACCUCCAUUUCCUAGUUAUUUCCAUUCUACCAAAGAACUUUCUUUAAUAAGUAACAAAAUUAAAUCGGCUAUAUUUUGCACCCACCAAGAAAACAAAGUUGGAGUUUGAAAACCUUUUUUGUUGAAUAUUCUUGUAGUUUUGUGAGAAGUUAAAAAGGUUGAGAAUAGCCGUUCAUAUAUGGCUAAAUACUUAUAACAGAAAGUACUGAAAUUCAUUUAAGAAAUUGGUUUAAUUAACUCUGGCCGUAAACCUGGCCUUAGUUCGUAAGUAGGUGGUAGUACUAACGUUUCAUUCAACAGCAACGGCGGAGAGGCAAAACAAGAGAGACAGAGAAAAGAACCUAACCUGCAGCUGAAGCCUGAACAGGAUCUUCCAAGGAAUCUCUUAUAUGAAUCGCAAGUCUUGUGGUGUAAUUAGAAUGAUUUUCGUAGAAAUCAGACAACGACAUAUUAAUGGAAGUGAGGCAGAUCUGGGAAAAAGGAGUUUGGAGAUCAAGAACUAUUCCUAUUUUGAUUUCACUUGUUGGGUUUUUUCGUAAACCAACGUUCAUCAUCAUAAAACCCCAAAAGAACGGGACUCCCAAAAAGAUAUUAUUAGCUUUUGUAGGGUUCAUCAUCUUCGUCCAAAGAUUCUGGAACUUUAUGUCACUCUUUAACUUUGCCUUUUUCUGUAGGAUAUAUAGGACAGAAAACAAGUUUUAUUCCAAGAAUUAUACAUACAAUUGAAAUUAAAAAAUAAAAUUCAUUAAAAGGUAUGAAGAUAAAUAUCUAUUAAUAUAUAAUAAUUUAAAUAUAUUAAAAUAAAAAAAUAUUAAUAAAAAUAAAAAAAUAAAUAGAUUUUAAACCCAAAAUGUAUUUAUUUUUAAAAACAGAAAAUGCGGAUCUAGGUUUUAAUGUUUACUGUUUAAAGUUUAGAUUAAUUUAGUUUUUACUAUUUAAUAAAGAGAAAACAUUUUUUGUCCUUUUUUCGACACAAUUACACUUACCCUUUUUUAGACUAAAUGAAACAAAUAGUCUUAGGAAUUAAAAAAAAUUAUAAAAAAUAGAAUCAAUUGAUGAAAUACCAUAUACAAACUGAUAUUUAUUUGAAUUGUAAAACUUGUUAAAUUAAAAAUUUUAAUUAUGUUCUACGGAAAGAAGAUUUCAUCUUCUACGAAAAAUGGCAUGAUAAAAAUUGAAUUCUACUUUAAACAAUUUAUUCUACUUUCUCUAGAACCAAUAAUCUACUUUUAAAUAGAAUUCUAAAUACGAGGAAUGUGAUGUCUACGCAUUGUAAAUGUAGCUACAUUUAUUCUAAAUGCAGCUUCUACUUCUAUGAACAAUUCUAAAGUUGAAAACAAAAUCUAGACACGACUCAAAAUGCUACAUAUGGUAGAAUCUACUUAUGAAUUAGUUGUAUGUUCUUUACAUAGUGUAGAAGCUACAUUCUACGGAUAAAAAUAACCAUAUUUUCAAAAAUAUUUCUGAAAAUAUUUGGAAUUUUUUUUACUUUCCUAAAACGUAUUUCAACGAUUUUGUUGUAGAAAAAAUAGAUUUUCAUUUAUUUCUUUUGAUUUAUUUUCAAAAAAUCAAAAAAAAGUAAUUUUUUUUAUUUCUUUUAAAUUAUACUUAAGAAUAUAUAUAUACAUAUAUAUAUAUAUGUAUAUAUUUAAAAUUAUAAUUUACAUAGAUUUUCAUUUAUUUAUUUUGGUUAUGAGAUAUUAAAUAAAAUUUUAGAAAAAUAAAAAUUGUAUAAAAAUUAUAUAAUUAUCAAAAGUAAAAUUAAGCAGAAUUCAUAUAUUAAAGUAAUUUGGGCAAAAUGGGAGAAAAUGUGUGCGCCUAGGGAAGAGGGAGGAAUUGGAUUCCGUAUGAUCCAUGAAUUUAAUCUAGCCCUCCUAGCCAAAUAGCUAUGGCGCCUUGUUCAAUAUCCAGAUUCAUUAGUGGCAAGAGUUCUUCGGAGGAAAUAUUACCGUCUAAGUUCGCCCUUGCGUUCUGGUGCUGUGGAUUCCCCAUCGUAUAUUUGGACGAGUAUCAUAGCGGCAAGGAAGCUACUACUAUUGGGCAUCAGGAGUAAGGUACACUCAGGAUACGAAAUUAAUGUGUGGGAGGACCCCUGGAUUCCUUCGACGCCGGCAAGGCCAGCAAGAUCAAGAGUCCCAGUUGUACAUCCAAGCAUGACCGUCAGCAGCCUUAUUAAUUUCGAGUCAAAAAAAUGGGAUGCCCGAUUACUGGAACAAUAUGUGGACCAAGAAGACAUUCCGUUGAUUAAGAGUAUGGCCAUAAGCCCUACUCACCGACGAGACACUUAUUGUUGGAGCUAUACUAAAAGUGGUCAAUAUACGGUAAAGUCUGGAUAUUGGGUUGCUAUGAACGUGAUGAGAACAGAGGAGGCUUUAGAAGUCCUACAACCCAAUAUAACUAAACUCCAAGCCUUUGCUUGGACAGUAAAUGCGCCACAAAAAAUUUGCCAUCUUAUAUGGCAAUUAAUCUCUGGACAGGUAGCGGUAACGAGGAAUCUAAUACGCCGAAAUAUGCGAUGUGAGAACUACUGCCCAAGAUGUGGUGAGCCAGAGGAAACUGUUACUCAUGCAAUCUUUGAAUGCCCUCCAGCAUUACAAGCAUGGGCCUUAUCAUCUACACCAUCGAGCUCUCAAACCUUUCCGGUACCAAGUGUUUACGCUAAUAUGGAUUAUUUGUUCUGGAGGAAGAAUAAUAUAAUGGAGCCAGAAGAUGAUAGGGACCCUUAUCCUUGGAUAAUUUGGUACAUUUGGAAAGCCAGAAAUGAUAAGUUGUUUAGAGGCAUCGAUAGAGACCCAUUGGAGCUAGUUAGGUAUGCAGAAAGUGAGUAUCUUGCUUCAACAAACUUUCUUUCUCAUUCUACUUCCCGUAAAGUAUUAGCUUCCUCAUCUUCAUCUUGUUCUAGUUGUGGAGUGGAAAAUUCUUCACUCGGAACGGGAGACACUCUUCUUAGCUCAAACUCCAUGUUCUCUGACGGAUUUUGUGGCCAUGGUAUGUUCUGCAUUGUGGAAGAUCUUGGGGUGCAUUGAGUACUAGGUGAACUCACAUUAUGAACCGCACUAUCCUUGAACAUGUGGGAUUUUAUGUCUUUUUCGUCAAAGCUUCUAACCAAAAUCGUUAGCUUUCUCCAGAAAGAAAUUUCGGAGUCCUCAUACAGCGUGUGCCUAUG